rnacentral:rRNA from 1 species
GUGGGGAAUAUUGGACAAUGGGCGCAAGCCUGAUCCAGCCAUGCCGCGUGAGUGAUGAAGGCCCUAGGGUUGUAAAGCUCUUUCGGGUAGGACGAUGAUGACGGUACUACCAGAAGAAGCCCCGGCUAACUCCGUGCCAGCAGCCGCGGUAAUACGGAGGGGGCUAGCGUUGUUCGGAAUUACUGGGCGUAAAGCGCACGUAGGCGGAUCAGAAAGUCAGAGGUGAAAUCCCAGGGCUCAACCUUGGAACUGCCUUUGAAACUCCUGGUCUUGAGGUCGAGAGAGGUGAGUGGAAUUCCGAGUGUAGAGGUGAAAUUCGUAGAUAUUCGGAGGAACACCAGUGGCGAAGGCGGCUCACUGGCUCGAUACUGACGCUGAGGUGCGAAAGCGUGGGGAGCAAACAGGAUUAGAUACCCGGGUAGUCC